rnacentral:rRNA from 1 species
GAGAAGGAGACUUCGGUCUCUGAGUAGAGCGGCGCACGGGUGAGUAACGCGUGGAUGAUCUACCCUUGAGUUCGGGAUAACGGUGCGAAAGCGCCGCUAAUACCGUAUAACAAUCCAUUUCAUCGUGGGUUCAAAGCAGGCCUCUUCAUGAAAGCUUGCGCUUGGGGAUGAGUCCGCGUCCCAUUAGCUUGUUGGCGGGGUAACGGCCCACCAAGGCUACGAUGGGUAGCUGGUCUGAGAGGAUGAUCAGCCACACUGGAACUGAAACACGGUCCAGACUCCUACGGGAGGCAGCAGUGGGGAAUAUUGCGCAAUGGGGGAAACCCUGACGCAGCGACGUCGUGUGAGGGAGGAAGGCCUUCGGGUCGUAAACCUCUGUCAGAAGGGAAGAACAUCCGGGAGUCGAACAGCCUCCCGGCCUGACGGUACCUUCAGAGGAAGCGCCGGCUAACUCCGUGCCAGCAGCCGCGGUAAUACGGAGGGCGCAAGCGUUAAUCGGAAUCACUGGGCGUAAAGCGUGCGUAGGCUGCUUGAUAAGUCAGACGUGAAAUCCCUCGGCUCAACCGGGGAACUGCGCUUGAUACUGUCGAGCUAGAGUCCUGGAGAGGGUGGCGGAAUUCCUGGUGUAGGAGU